GCUAAAACAAAACAAAACAAAAAAAAAACAAAACACACAAAAAAAAAAAAGAGUCAAAAAAAAAAAAAAGUAAUAACAUUAUAUAUGAACUGUGUUUCCUACUUGAUUAAAAAUAUAAAGAACUGAGUGUUUAUUUCCCUAAUUAACCGAGAACUUUUGUACACGUUUAAGCUAUUAUUAUUAAAAGUGUUUGCAAAAAUGGUCAAGAUUAUAAUAUUGCUGAAUUAUAUAAAAAAAAAAAGUCCUUUUCAUGUUGAGCUAACAUUUGACUUUAGCACAAAAAAAAAAAAAAGAGAUAUUUUAGAACACGUAAAAUAAUAUUUUUAGUUUUUUCUUCUCAUUUUGUUACCAAAUUUCGAACCUUACAUGGAGGUUACUAUAGUAUAUUUGACACCCUAUAUACCUGUGAUUAGAGAUGUGUAUAUAUAUAUGAGGGCUAGGCAUGCUGUGUGUCUGAGCUUUGUCUAAAUGUUAUGCAGAAGUUUGUAGAGUUAAAAGGUACGUAGGUUUAAUUCAUGCAAGGUAAACAAUAAGUGCUCUCUUUUAUACAAUAUGCAUUGCAUCUGGACCUUAAACAUAUAAAAAUGGUCAGUGAAACUUCUGUGAACAUGAAGAAAAAUUAUUAAAAAAGGCAUUUAAAUGAAAUUUGCUAACUUGUGAUUUUUACGUUUGAACCAAAGUUCUUCAAAUAGUAAAAAAAAAAAAAAAAAAGGAAAGAGGAAAAGAAAAAAAAAAGAGAGAGAGAGAGAAAAAAAAAAAACGAAAAGUAAAGAAUUUCCUCCCAUAAUAUUUUUUUUCUGCACCUGUUUGGUUUACAACUGAGUAGGCGUAUUGUCAUUAUUGUGUAUAUGAGAUGUACUUGUAUUGUUCAUAAUAUAUUUUUUUUAUUCUGUGUACUUAAAGUACUUAACCUGACAUGCAGCGGUUUCCAGUGCACCUGUUUUUGGACAGCAGGUAGCGAGUCUUUCCGUGUCGCCACUGGCACUAGCACUAUCUCCUGAACUCGUGAGAGGUCCGGACCGAUGCUUUGAUCCCUGUUAACUUCCGUAGGCCUGUUAGGAACCAGAGCAGCACGAGGGCAGCGUGAUCCCACUGAGCCAUGGGGGUCGGAGUUUGGUUGGACAGUGAAAGCCAAGCCGGUGUGUGUCCGUAACGGAUUAUUUCCAUGUAGCUGUGGUGCUAGUUAUUAUUACUGGCUACAUACCUGGCGAGCCUGGCCGUGCCCUGCCCUCCCCGUCCCAGCUCCCGCCGCGCGCGGGCUCUGCUCAAAGCCUAGGCUAGGGAAACACAGAUUUGUCAGAACACUAAUCUGUCCAGGUGUGUUCUCCAAAUUGAAAUUGUUUGUAAUAAUAAUAAGAAUAAUAAUAGACUUUUACAGGUUGUCUUUGUUGUUUUCGGUUAUGUUGGGUUGUUUUGUUUUUUUUUUUCUUUUAAAAAAAGUUGGUGUGCUUUUAAUUGACUAACUUCUUGCUGCUGUAUAGUAAAAAUAUUAAUAUAUUUUUAUCAUUAAACUGCUGCAUGACUAUCAUCAUUGCGAGUGAAGAGAAAAUGUUAUAAAAAAAAGAUGCCUUAAACAGUGAAAACAAAACUUUAUUUUUUGUUUUUUCUUUUCUUUUCUUUUCUUGGCUGGAAUUCAGUAGAGAGCGUUUCAGAGAAACUAGAAUCUUGUUCCACUCGGAAGUUUUUUGGGAAUGCAAUCAUUUUGCUGAAUGGUCUUGGCUGAGUUAGGGGUCAGGUAGACCUGAGCUGCUCCUGUGUGAGCAGGAGCUGCCAGCACUUCUUUACCGAGGGGCAAGGAUGGAGUUUUGGAAGGGUGGGGAGAAAACAAAAAAAAAGCUUGUUUUAAAGAAUUUGAUUUCCUGCUGUCGUUUUAUUCCCGGUUGAAAUUAUGAUUCCCUUUUUCUUCUUGGGUUUUGUUUUUGGUUUUUUUUUUGGUUUUUUUGAGAUGUACUGUAAGUGUCAAAACAAGCUGUUUCCAUUGUACCAUGCAUUAUUGCCCUUGAAAGAAGUUUGCUGUUAGUGUUCACAGAAAGUUAAACACAAGACGCUGGUAGCGAGGUGUUUCUGUUUCUUUUUAAACAAUCACUGGAAAUGUUUAAAAUUGCUUUAAUGUGCACUUUUCCUAUUUCCCAGUAGCGGAAUAAGCUUUUCAGAGUGCGUAAUGUGACAUUUGAAAUGGUUCUCAAUUGCAUGUAAACGUGUCUGAUAACCUUCUGAAUCGGAGGCUCUGGAUGGGCAGUUCCAGCGAUUAUUGUACUUCAACUGUGAUGUGUCGGGACUGCACUCUCCAUGCUGCUAGACGUAGUUAGGAAUUUAAUUGCUUUGGUUUUGCUACUUGAUUGAUUGUCUCGGUCCUGCUGUUCACUGCCCUCCCCAAAGUUGUCGCGCUGCCGACGGACGCGCUCCGCUCCGGCGCCCGUAGUUCCACGCCGCCGCGGUGCGUUCCCAGCAAUAAGUAGCGGGAGGCGAGGAGAGCACGGCAGAGUGUCCUUCCGUCCCUCCCGGCUCCUGGGAGCAUCGCUAACGAGGCAGGCUGCUCCCGUGGUCUUCCUCGCCCGCGCCGCCCGGAUCCUGCCCAGGAUCCGGCUGACUCGAGAAGCGCACGGGCCGCGCGGUUCCAGUCAAACCAGUACAGCCUGGAACAGCCCGCGGGCAGUUCUGUGAACAGUGGCCGAGAACUUGUGGUCAGUUUUUGUCUCGUUUUGGGUUUCUUCUGCGUGUUUCCUUGGUUUUUUGGUUUGGUUUGGUUUUUUUCUUCUUUUAACGCACGUUCUGUAUGUUCAAGGACUUGAUGAAUGAUGAUAACGAAAGACUAAAAUGACUGUAAAGAUUCGUGGGAUUUUGCUCCUGGUUGUUUUUAGUUUUCUUUUGAUUUAUUUUUCUGCUUUUUUUUGUUUUAAUUUUUGUUUUCCCGGAGGUGCUCGGUACUUUACCAAGGCUCUAAUGUCUCAGUGUUUAAAACAAAUCAGAGCAGAAAACCCUGUUUAAUGUUAGAAGAAGAAAGGUAUAUUUGACCAUAUGUGUUGUUUUAAAAAAAGACAGUAUGCUCAAAUGUGCCAAGAUACCUAAUUCCUGAGAAGUAUGCCUUAUAUUUUCCUUGAUUAUAUGCUUUUAAAUGUCUUGUAGAAUAGGUCCAAGAGCAUGAUAAAAGCUACUUUAUAAUGACUACGUGCAAGAAAACUUGAAAUUCAUUGCAAUACUGACAUUAUUUUAUUUUUAAGUUAAAGGGACACUGUCAAGUAACUUACCAUUGAAAUACAACCACCUUUUAAGUGGUUUUAUGCUAACGGAGAAACGUCCUCCAAAUUCAAAUUCUAUUUUUUUUUUUUGUUAAAAGGAGAAAAAAAAAGUGAAAUUGCUCUAUGUUUGAGAAUUUAAAUAAAAAAAAAAGAAAGAAGGAAAGAAAGAAAGAAAAGAAACAGCACUAGCCGCUGUUGAUUCCUGCCUCUUUUUUGCGGUCCCGCUUACGAUGCUGCGGGGGGGGCAGCCCGCAGCUUCCCGGGAGCCGGGGGGCUUGGCCGGACCCCCGCGGGGUUCCCCCGGCGCCGGGAGCCCCCGGGAUGGGCCGGGCGGGAUCCGCGGGCGAGCAGGAGCCCGGCCGCGGGUGCCGGGAGCGCGCCGAGCUCGCAGCCAGGCGCGCCCGUAGGCGGAGAGCUUUUCGUUUUUUGAAAAUUCAAUUGGGAAGGGAAAAAAAAAAAAAAAAAAAAGGAAAGAAAUACUUGACAGUGUCACUUCGUGCGUAUCCCUCGCAGGGGUUGAAAUGUGCUGGGGGUAGCGCUGCCGGGAGAGCGGUUCCCAACCUGUCCCGGGACUGUGGGAAGCGCAGAGGGGCUGCCCCAGGGGCAGCGGGCGGGCGCGGAGCCCACCCUGCGAGCCAGGCAGAGCUGCUGCCGGGGAUUUAACCCCUGCUCAGAGCCGACCGGUAACUUCUUUUUUUGUUUUGUUUUGUUUCGGGUUUGGUUUUUUUUGGUUUUUGGUUUUGGUUUGGUUUUUGGUUUUUUUUAUUUUUGGGAGCAAUUACUUUGUUGCCUUUAAAAAUAGCACUGUAACCACCUUUUUUUAUGAUUAGCUGUAGUGUAACCUUUGUCCCUUCAAACUAUGCAAGCUAUGAAAUGUAAAUUAGGGAUCAGUUAAAGAUAGUUGAUUAUAUUCAAUCAGUUGACAUUCAUGCACUAACUGGAGUAUAUACAGAUAAAGCUAUUAGAGUGACUUGUAUGCUAACAGCAAGAUAUAACAUACCUACCUAUUCUAAAAAAAUGACUAUUAAUAUUGUAUAACAGGACUGUGGGGGUUGGGAGGGAAUGUUAUCUCUUAUCUUCUUAAAAGGGGAUUUAAGAUUUUUAUAACUGUUUUUUCCAUCAAACUUUAAUAUUUUUGUCAAAUUUUUAGGUAUUUAAUUUGUAAAAUAGAUUUUACUUUGUACUGGCGUACAGAAAAUAGGGGUUGAUUUAAACUUUUUUGAAGCCAAGUGAUCAAGUACAUUUGUAAUAAAAAGUCAAUGGAUCUAUAUCAGUCGUACUCACUGUUUUCAUUUCUUGUACGUUCUAAUGCAGUGGCGCUGUAUGUCUCCCAAGGAAAAAAAAAAUUGGGGAGGGGGGUGGAAGGAGAAGGCAAAAAUGUCAGCAUUGAUGCUGCCAAUUGAUGCAACUUUGCGUGUGCAAGUGGCCCCUGGUCAGUGGAGAUUUGGUAGAUAUGCAUUUUUCCUAAAACACGGUGCCCUUUUUCCAGAAGGGUUUAUGCAAACCUGAUGUUUUUGGCAUGUCUUCACUUCACGCUUCCACCUUGGCGCCCGUAAACUCUAAAGUCGCCCUUUGGGAAGCGCCUUUCCCUGGCACUUCAGAAAAAGCAAAACCAACCAAAGCAAAACUCCGAUUUCUUCUAAAGUGGUGAACUACAGCACAUGAUGUUUUUGCACCCUCACACGCUGUCUCCCUUCCUCCAAGGUCUGCCACUUGCUUUUCUCUAAGUUCAAGAGGUCAACUUUUUUUUGUUUCGUUUUUUUUAAGUAAAAUUGCCAAGUCUUUUGGAUCGAAGACUUCAGCAGAUCCACCGAGCUUGGAUCCAACACCUUGCAGAGCACUGACAUAAUUAUUUUUUGGUUGCUUGUUUGCUUUAAACCCAGCCCUCCCCUUCCCUGUCCCAGGGCAUAUACCAAAUCUGAUUGACUUGUCUGUGGCAGAAGUUGUGGGAGUCAGCAGGGAGAAUGACGACAUUAAUGUACAAGAAUGCUAAAACAGGUUUACAUUUUAGGGACUCUCGUCAAGCAGGAAAACUCAAAAGUAUAACUAGAACCAACCAAUUUCCAGUUUCCUCAGUUUCACUAGUCCUCCAGGUACAAAAUGAGUCUCUCUUAGGUGAGUUGGAAAGAAGGCAGUGAAGUCAAAUUCCUCCACAACUGUGCCAUUUGCUCCUUCAAAAACCUGCUGCUUCCUACUGUAUUGGGUGGCUUUUGGAGAGGUAGGGCUCUGCCUGAAGUGCUGGGAGUUUCUCUUUUAAAAAGACACUGUCAAGAAUUUUUCAUUUUUAGAAACCCAGUUUGCAGCUUUUUUUUUUCUUGCCUUUUUUUUUUCUUUUUUUUUUUCUUUUGCUUUUUGUCAGGCUUACCCAAACUUUCCCUUUAUUGUCUUACUCUCCUCUUUUGUUGGCUGCCUGCUCCUUGUUAACUCAGCUUGUGCAGCUGGAGGGUCACUGUUUCUGGUGGUGUUUGGACUAUCUGGAAGAGAAGCCCAGUAGUUUGAAAUUCUCAAGCUGGGCUUUUUUAUAUCUUUUGCACACUCAUUUCUCUCCCUAAAAGUUUUACUCUUCUUGGCUUUCUCCUGGAAUGUGUGAAGAUAGGUGAAGGGCUCUGAAUUUUUGGUGGCAGAACAGAGAAACGGGCUGCACGCAAAGUGUUGUCACAAUGUUUUGACAAAACCGACGAGGUAAACAAGCGAGUUCCAUUUUUAUUCCUGAUUCCUUCUGCUGUUGCCAUCUCCUGUGCCGCUUGCAACAAUGAAAGAGAGUUUCUGCCCAGAGCUUUUUUUUGUGGUUCCUUUUACUCUGCUCACUUGCACAUGAUUUAGCUCGCUGGCACGGCAAAAUGUGCGUGGGUUGUGAGCGUGGCAAGGAGAUACGUAUAUAGAGUUUAAAGCUAGUUAAGGUUAAUUUAAAUGGACUUCCAAAAUUAUAACCUUUUUUAAAAGCUUGUAUUGCCCAGAGCCUAAUCUUUGGGCCUGAAGUUCAUGGCUUUUAUUUUUUUUUUCUCCGAAGUGGUGUGUGUUGUGUUGGGAUGGCUGAGGGUGAUGGCGCAGGAAGGAUGCGCCUCUCGUGUGGCAGCUCUCCGGAAGCUCCGCAGCUGGAGCGGGGCUGUCUGCUCUGCUCCCAGCAGAGGCUGCCUUCCCGCUCCCAUUCGUGCCAGAUGGUCCUGAGUCCGCUCUGGGAGUUUCUCGUAGCCUGCCUAUUCUUCUCGUUAUCUUUCCAAAGCAUUUCAGUUCCUGAUGGGGCUGUGUGUUAGCAGCACUGCAGUCUGGGAGAAAGGCAGCUCACAUAAGGGCGUGCAACAAUCCCACUUCUUGUGAAUUACAAGUGGGCCACGAGGCUUUACUGGGCUGGUGUUGCUUGUUGUUAGUGCCGAACAGCUGCAGAUACCAGAGAGAAGUAAAGGCCAAAUCAUCCAUUUGCAGGGGUUCACAGUGUUAAUUCUCCAGUGGCAUUCUGGAUAUUUUACUGCAAUUUGGAUGGCAUAGAAGUUGCUGCUGGAGGAGCACAUUGGAAGGGAAAGGAUGAGCGGGUUGGUGUUUGGGCAGGUGUGGUGCUGUCAUUAACGAAGGCAUUUCCUGAGGCGGCAGACUCAGGCUGGGUGAAAAGAGUUUGUCCCAGGGGAGGAGCUCCCAGCAGUCACAGCAAAGGUGUUGUCUGUCUGCAGGGUGGGAAAAGGCUUUCAGAGCUAGGUGGGAGAUUGGAUGUGGCAGAGAUGGAUGGCCGAGGUACACCUGGGCUGCCAUGCAAGUGCUUCAGCAUCAGCACAGGUAUGGGGGAUGGCACUUAGAGAAGCCCAUGGGAGCCUGACGGCAGUGGCUCUUUGUCACAGGCAGCUGAGGGGUGUCAGGCAGCUGGUCCCCGGGGAUUGUGGAGCUGCAGGGGCUGAGCUCCCCGGCUGGGGUAGCUCUGCUAGUCCCAUCGUUGCAGUUUGGUGGCUGAAGCCAGAUGAGCAUUUUGUGUUUCAGAAGAGUCAAAGCAUGUCACUCCCACCUCUAUAAAAGCAGUAACCGGUUGUGUAGUCUGUUUGAGGCAAAAUAUCACUGAAGAGGGAGAGUUGAAGUCAUACAGCAAGAAACGAGGCAUGUUUUCACGGAAAAAUGUCAGCUGGAGAUUAAGUGAAAAAAGAUAAAGAUAGAGGACUUUUGGCCCCACUAUCUGUCUUUUGAAUGUUGACUGAUUAAAACAAGACAGAGUGAAAGGCUGGAUAUCCCAGAACAAUGCUUCACUGUCCCUCUGCAGAUCGAUACUGCUGGCGCUCCUUUACCCAGAGAGGGGAUCUGGUCUUGAGCUUUUUGCUCUGGAAGGCACCAUGGCCAGCUAAGAUGGAGCCUGCUCAGGCUGGCCAUAGAUUUUGCCUGCAUGUGGGUGUUGUCUCAUUUUGGGUGACCAGACAUCACCUGGGCUGUGGCAGUAUCUCUGCAGCUCGAAUUGGCUAUGUGGUUUGGUAGGGAAAUUCUGCUGUCCCUGUGUAAUGUAUCUUGGAGCAGUCUCAGAGUGCAAGACCUGAUACAGUUUGGGUUUAACUAAGACAGGUUCUACCAACCAGUGGGCAUUAGGUUUAUCAGACCAAGCUAGAGCUCACAGGAGAGUGAAAUAUCCAAAACACAGAUAAUGUAGCUGUCAGGUCCUGAGCAGGGACUACUGUGCUGUUGAACUUGGCUCUGGCUGUGCUGAUGACUCUGGCCAUUUCCACACCUGGUCUUGAGGCUUAGGUUCAUGACGUGGUGAACCUCUGCUCCUUUCUGGAUCUGCCAUCAGCUGGGAGGGUGCUUGGUUUGAAUGAGAAUCUGCUGGAUCUCCCCAGCACGAACUCGAUCUUAACUCAGACAGUUCCUUGGCUUUGCUGGUGAUCAGUUGGUUUGCUGUCCGUCCUGACAUCAGCUUUGCAAAAAUACACACCUUAACCCUUUCUGAGUCUUAGGCCGCAUAGCAGACUGAAGUGCAAAGAGGACUGGCUGCAACACUGGCAGUGGGAGUUUCUGCUGAGUCUCCCUGGCUGUGGCAUUGAAGUAUUUUUUUCUUGAAACACUAUCUUGAAAUAUGCAGGAAGCAAAAACCCAGCUUCAUUCUUUCUGUUUGAGAUUGGAGAGGUGAGAGGUGUGGAUUUAUAUCUGCAGCAAGGAAGGAUGUGCCCCUCCUGGCUGGGAAGACCUUGGAGGGAGGUGGCUGUUGUGGGAGCUGAUCCCAGUGCGUGCCGCUGGGACGGCAAGUGCAUGACUUGGAGAGAUUUAGACAGCUUUUUGGGAAAAACCUCCUUGUGUUGAAAUGUCAUCCCAGUCACGAUGUUGAUUUCAGUGGAGAAUUGCUUGUGAAAGUGGCUGGCAAGCUGCAUCUGAAGGCCCGUGACCACGCUGACCCCGGUGGGUUUGGCUGUGUUACUGGACAUGAUGCAGAGACCGUGCAGCAGCCCCGUGGGUGAAUGCCUUGGUGCAAGAGAUCGUGUCCUACCGACACGAGUCAGCGCUUUGGGCUGCGAGGUGUUGCUGUCAUGCUUGCAGGAAGGUCUGGGAGCUGAGCCUGGGCUCUCAGACAUCAUCAUCAUCAUCAUCAUGCUCUGGAUUGAUGCAUGGGCCAGCACUGGCACGGGGUGUUUUGGGGUGGCUGUGGGGGCUCUGCUGCAGGGAUGACCCCCCCAGCAUGGUUUGAGCUCCUCUGUGUCACCAGCUGUGCUGAUGUGGCAGGUGCUGAGAUGAGGCUGGAGGAGGCUCUGUCCGUAUCAUACCUGCCUGGAUAGUUUCUGUUGCUGAGAGCUGAGGGUCAGUAAAUGAGCAGUGGUCGUUUCUUCUGUUACUGGUGAAUGUCUUCAUGUGUGACUCGGACUCAAACUGCCAUCGAGGUUGGGACAUUCGAGGUUUGGGGGGUUUUGUUCUCACUCUGGGUAGAAAGGCAGCUGUCAGAGGGCAGGACAGUGGUUGUGCAUCGGGCAGGACCUGUCUGUUGGGAUGUCUGGGAGCAGCAGUGUCGUUUGAAAGGCAGCCACCUUGGUUUGGGUGUCUCUGUUCCCCGGCUUGGGAUUGCUCUACUGUCUCCCUAGGGAAUGCAUUUUAUUUCUCCGUGCUCCAUCCUGGUUGCACAAUAGUGAGCAUGAUGUAGGCCGCAGUCUCCUGAGGUUUGGAACUUGCCUGGGCUCACCUUUUGCCCAGGCAUCUCAUAUGGGCAGGGGAGCUCAGACCAGCAGCUCCUGGGGAGUGAGUCUGCAUCGGCACAUCAGUGUCAGCCGGUUCAGGCUCCUCAGAACUCACCUGGGGGUCGAGAGGUGAGCGCUGGGAUUUCAGGGACCAGCUCUUCUCUCUGCCUCAGUCCAGCAGAAGCAGGUCCAGCUGGCUCACUUUUGGGCAAGCUGGGAAGGCUUGCCGAUCUGUCAAUACUUCAGGAAAUGCCAGGGCUAGGAAUCAUGGAGAAAGGAUUUUGUGAAAUCUGGUAUUUAAACCUCCCACUCGAGUGAUGCUGAGGAGAGCUGGCAAUGUAGCAUUGGCUUAUCAGGAGCUGUGUGGGCAGGUCAGCUUAAAAAAAAAUGUUGUGUGAGCAGUACCAGAGGUGAAGGAAAGAAGCCGGUGUCUUGUCAGGUACAGAGUUUAAAUGGGGUCAGAAUUUCUUUUUAUUAAAAAGAUUGUUUUAUUUAAAUAAUAAAUGACAGUAGGUUCACCGUUGCCACGGGCUGCUGAAGGGCAACCAGGCAGGUCUGAGCAAAGUAGGGACUAAAGGCUUUGAAUUAUUUUCUGUCAUUAAUAACUCUGAACUAAGCACUGCAAAUUCAUGUAAAAGCCAUCUCUGCUUUCGUGCAUGCGAACAGUUUGGUUUGUGGAUAGGUCUGCUGUGUUCAGAGGCUCAUUCUAUCUUGGAAAAAAAGAGUUGGCUUCUGAGCUUCACCCGUCAAUAAAAGUCUUGGAAAAUGAGUCCUUGCAGGCUUCUGCAAGGCCAUAUGUAACUUAUCUUGUCCAAUGCAAGUCUCUAAUUGGCAGUUUAAAGUCAUUUUAAAAAAAGAAUCUGUUAACAGUCAGUCUAUUUUUAGUUUAAAGAUGGACUUUAUAUGGUCAUAAAGUAAAAUUCCUAGCUUAAUUAUGGGAAUCAAAGUACAUUGGCUUAAUUGCACAAAGAACUGCACACAAGAGUGCAGAGAGGACACGCUUUACGAGUGAUUAUCUGCUGAUAAAAUAUUGUAUGGAGCAACAAGUGGGGGAAUUCCAGGCUCUAGAAAGCAUCCUGAGGCCAGAACUGCUGAGCUGGUGGAGGAGAGAUGGCAUCAAAUCCUCUGCAGAUGGUCAGGGUUCAUUCCCACCACAGCACCUGCUGCCUUGCUUUGUAUUUAUGGAGGCUUGAAACUGGACAGGAUUAAAGGGGUGAUUUAUAACCAAAGCCUUGGUUGAGGAGUUGAUUUGUGUUCUGGAGGUGCCACCAGGAGGUGGAGAAGCAGCUGUGGGAGGUUUGAAUGGCAGAGGAUUUGGUGAUGGGAAAUAACAAGCUCCCAGUGACAGGAGAUCCAUCAGGUCAGAACUAUUUGCCUGUUGAUUGGACACAUAGACCUUGAAAGGUAUCAGAGUGCUUGGGGCAAGCCUGAAGCUGCCAUUCUUGAAGCUGAGAUACCCGAGAAGCUAAAUUUGGGUGUCCAGGAAGGAGAUAGAAUUUAGGAUGUGGCAGCACCUCUUCCUAAAGUCUUGGUGGUGUGGGAAAAGGCUGUGACAGGGAGGUGAAGUGAAUAUGACUCCACAGCGUUUCCACUUCAGCCCAGGCGUCCCCAGACUGGUGGCACGGGAAGUGGGCAGGGUUUGGGGAGGACAGACUGAGUACAGCUGGGGGAAGGCUGAGGCUGUCGGGGCUCGGGAUGUGCAGAGGUUGGGAGCAGAGCUGUGUGCACAGGAGGGACAGCCAGCUUCAGGCUGUGGGCUGGAGUGAGGAAUGGGCACACCUGUACAACAGGGGGGAAACAGGAGACAAAAAUAAUUGUUGUAGACUGCUCAGUGGUGAAAAAAGACCUCGGCACAGCUGGUCUGAUUGAAACAUGGUGGGGGUGAUGAAAUCAAUAAGAUACUGCAUUACCUGCCAUUGCACUCUACUGAGCAGGUAUGUUAGGUCAUAAAGAACACUGCAUCUAAAAGGUUGCUGUAAAAUCUGAGGAAAUUGGAGUCCUGACAACCAAACAGCUGCAUUUAUGUUGGAUAUAAGUUCUGUAUUUUAAUGACAUGGAGGUAUUAGGAAGUUUUCUAUUCCAGACAAGAGGAAAGUUGUGGGUUUCUUGAGCCUUGGGAAAAAAACAGGCUCAUGCAUCUUCAUAAAUCUGUUAGAAAAAGUAAGUUCCAUUAUGACCAUGCUAUCUAGCCAGACUGUUUGGGAAGGAACUGGCUAACAUUUUGGUGCUCAACAGCUUGAUUUACUUAAAGGAUCAUUUCUUGUAACAGCCUGGUCUAGAGUUAGCCUUUGUUUAGGACUAAAACGUAAGAACUGAUUCAAGAUAAAAUUAUUGUUGAGUUGGCAAGUGGCAGUGACCAGCUGGGGGUCACUGAAUUGCAGGUUCAGUAUUCUCAGGGGUGGAAGGUGCUGGACUAAAAGUGAGUCUUGUGUUACAAAAUAUUGCAGGGGAGAAGAUCAGAAAAAUGAAGUCCUUAGAUUUACCAUAGAUAUGUGGGAAGGUUACAGGCAUCCAGAUGAGGCAGAAGUCUGUCAUGAAAGAGCGAAGAACCCUACAACUGUUGUUAAAAAUAGUUAUAAAGGAAGGGACUUCUGGAGUUCAGGAAGAUUCCAUCAAAAGACAGAAGUCCAACUCUUGAGGAGCAGACUGAAAGAACCAUGUGGUAGGGCAGAAAAUGAAGCAGUUUAGGCAGGGCUUUGCAGAGCUGGGGGCCUUGGGGAGCCAAUGGUGUCUGAGGGACAUCAGAGACAGGGCUGGGGAGAAAAUCUGGGUUUCAUUUCCUGCACUGCUUCAUGCCACUGAAGUGACUCCUCCAUGUCAUUCUGGAGCACAGGGCAUGUUUGAGAGCCUGCUGUCCAUCACCUCAUCCUUUUGGGUGAGAUAAGGAGCCUCCCUCUGAAACUCAAGUGAGGCAGAGAUGCUGGAGCAAAGUAGGAAAUUCAAGUAGAGGAGCAACAGGUGUAUCAAGGGGUUUCUAAAAAGCUUGGCUCUGAAACACUAAAGGUACUAGCAAAACCAGGGCUGUCAAAAAACAGCUUAGUAUUCUCCAUGACUAGAUAACAUCCUAAUGUCAGGUUAUUAUUUUUUUUAAUUAAAGUAGUAAUCGAGGCACAGGGAAUUGAAGAGCAGCAACCCUGAACUCCAGUUUGAGAAAGAGAAGCUGAAGUGCUGGAGCUCUUCAGUGUGUGAGGUGGAAAGCAGCACACUUUCUGCAAAGAAAGGGGAUUGGACCAGGUGAUCCCUUCCAACCUGAUCCAUUCUUUGAUUCUGUGAUCAGUCGGGUUUGCUGGGGCACCUGCCAGAAUGUCUGAGCACCUUGACAAACAGCAGGAUAAAAAAUAGGCUUAUAAUGAGAAGAGAAAUAUCAUGGAGCCCUUCCUUGGUUGCAGUUCUAUUGGUCACUUGGGGAGCAAAAGGCAGACUAAAGUCUAGUUAGAGAAUGAUUAAAGACUUCCAAGUCUGCAUCUUCAGCCUUUGAGCAAAUGAGUUCCAUUCAAUGGUUUCAUUAAAACCAGAGUUGCUGGGUAGAGAAGGGUUGAUUUUCAUGGAACUUUUCUGGUGGACACCACUAGGUCCAAGUUGCAAAGUCUGAUCUGAGGGGAGAAACAAGCCCAGAGUACUGGGUAAUAUGGUAUCUAAAUUUCUCCUGUAAAGCAACACCCCCAGUUCCUGCCUUGAACUGGACUUGCAGGUCUGCCAGAUCCCAGAGUGUGCCUGGAUAGCUGAUACUGUGGGUACGUUCUGUUUUCUUUUAUCUUUAUUGAGAAAAAACUCUUGCUUUUGAAAAUGGGCAGAAAGGGAAGGAGUAGGGUCGGAGGUCUGGGCAGCACCUUCCAGCUCUUGUCUAGGUCUGUCCUUGAGGGAGGGUUGUUGGUGUGUGUGCAUGUGCAGACCUGUGUUAUCGCUCUUCCCAAGACACUCAGGAGCACCCACAAGUAACUGGUGUCAGCCAGAGCAACCUUUGGCUGCUCUGGCUUAGUUUUAGGCUUCUUAAAAGUCUAGGAGUCAUGGCAAAUACCCUGACUUCUCCCAUCUUCCCUGUCUCCAGCAGAUCAUGGUACCGAAGAGUGAGUGCUCUGAUAAGUUGUUGGAGUUUGCAAUAGAAGCAGGAUAACUGCAGGCACUGCGAGGCUUUCAGUCAGAGUUUAUGUUUAAAGACAAGGAGCAGAGUGCUUGGGUUAUGCUGGAGAAGUGACCCCAGCCUGGCUAUGGCUGGAAAAUUGAGAAGAGCAUGAUAAGGUCUGGUUCUGUGAGCAUGGGGACAUGUGAGGCAACAGGCAGUGGGAGAAAAAAGCAAUUUUUAAUGCUCCGUCAGUAUGCCAGGCUGUAAGUGAAUUGCUCAUUCAGGAAGAAGAGCUCAGAUUCUGGCAGCAGAGCAAAUGAAGUGAAGGUGUGUAGCCUGCCACAGGAACCCUGCACAUUCCAGAUGUAGGUGCAGGUUUGUGAGGCUGCUGAGCAGGAGCUCCUCUGUACCACAGCUCGUUAGACCCCCACGGUGUCCCUGUGCUGCUCUCCCUGGUAAUCGGGUGGUUGUCACUGGCACAACCUUUGUGCCUACCCCUAGAUAUCCAUUAGAUUGCUCACUUCUAGUUGAAUUAUACCAGCUGACUUUGAAGUACUCAAUAUAAAACCAUCGUGGUAUGCUUGCAUGAUAGUUAUUUGAUGUAAGAAACAAUUUCUUGUGCUCUCUCUUUAGGAAUUUGGGCUUUGAGUUUCACUGAGGUGUGUUGUUCGUACCCAACUGCACAGGAUCAGGCCCAUCUCUGUUUUAAAAUGUAUUUCACAUCAGCGUUUAGAAAUGUUCUAGGAAACAAAUUAGGAGAUUGAGUUGUCUGUCACAGGCUCAGAUGAUCAUAGCGACUUGUGCUCAAGGCUCCAUCCUCGUAGAGACCUGCACGGCUGCUUUGUGUAACUGCUGUCAGAGCUCUGGCGUUCUGGUAAUAGUGUUUUUUAAUAACUGUACUGAGUAUACUCGCCUUUAAAUCCUGUUAGGUACCGAUAAUUAUCACUGGUAUUCUGUACAUUAGCUCUGUACUAGCAUUCACAUUGGACUAGGCUUAAUAGCGUGAGUGGCAAAGAUGACUUGAAAAAGGAAAAUUCAUUUAUACCCUUUUCGUGUGGUUCUACCCCGUGUCGUGGGUGGUUUGUAGAAGUACCAGAAGUGCUACAAUGGUCUUCCCCCUUUUACUUGCUGCAAUUCUCUGCAGAAGAACAUACAGAUUUAAGUCUGUUUUUCCAUCCUUUGGAGACACUGAGAUGUUAUCAUGGUGAGGCCCAUGGAAAUACCCAGACAAGCUGGGCCCUCACGCAGAGAUAAGGCAUCUUUUCCAUUUGGUUUUUUUUAAUUCUGCUGUCCAUUCUCCAAGCUUUUUUUCUUUUUUUUUUUAAUGUAAAAAAGUUAUUCCCUCAUCUGUCAGUGCAACAUCCUCUAGGAUAUUUGUGGUCUUCCAGGAAAGGUAGACAGGACUGGAAUUAACUAAUGCCAAAAAUUGCCCAUGGCAAGGGAGGGAAAUCCUUGUUUUCAAGACAAACCCCAUCCAGACUUUUUUUCAGACACCCCGCAGCACACCACAAGGGUAUAAAUCCCGACUUUUUCUUUUCCAGGUGAUCUUUAAGGCCAAGUAGCAGAGGGCAGGGUUUUGCCCUCCAGCGGGGUUCCGGUGCUGUGUGGCAUCCGCGCUGUCCCGCAGGUCUGAGCCCCCGGCACCCCGGCAUUUAGGGAGCUCCAUGGGGUUGGCUUUCACCAUGUCCUCGAUUUGGAUCCCCAGGGCAGAAAAAUUAGGACUUUCUCAGUUAAAGAAAAAACCGAAAGUGAAGCAAAAUCUCUGGAGAGUUGUGUUUCCCCACAGCAGUGACAGCCCCUCAGCACCCACUUCUGUUCAGCCAGCACCCCCGGGUCAGUCCUGCUGGGUUUUUAGCCAUCUUGACCUCAUGUUUGCAAAUAUUAUUGGUAAUAUAAUGCUCUAUGUACAAAUGUCUGUGUGGCUCAUGUGUAUGUUUCUGUGGUUCAAGUCAGCCACAGACUUCUGGAAUUUCAUUGUACUUUGGUUAAAUGUUGGACUUUUAACUCUUCUACUGUAUGGCUUCUUGAUUUCUCUUGUCCAAUGUGGACCAACUCUAUUUUUGGAAAUAAAUAAGCAUGUAAAUAAAAUGAAUGGGUUUAUGCCACUUACAAGAAAAUGCUUUAUUUAAAAUAUACACUCAGUCUUGUAUAUUUUAUGGUAUCUCAGGGAGCAGCCGAGGCUCAGGCCCCAGCAGCCUUGUGCUGAGAUACCAUAUUAUGUACAAAUUCACUUCCAAGUGCUUUUGGAAGCAGACUUCCCAUGUCCUGAGCCAAGCCCCUGUAGGACCAGCCUUGCGGAGGAGGGAGGGGGGAAGCCAGAAACACGUAGUUUAAGGGGAGUAAAGGAAAGAAACACAACUUUCCUCUCAACACAAGGCUUCUGGUUUGAGGUGUCCGGGUGCCAGAGACAUGGCCGGGUGCAGGGAUGCCAUGGGUCCUGCCUGGGAGCACGUGGAGAUCAGGAGCACGAUGACAUCUCUUUUUUUUUUUUUUUUUUUAAUUUUUUUUUUUAAUUCUCCAUAUAAACCAAUAUUUACCAGUAAUCCUGUGUUUCUGUUUUUGUUUUUUGGCAGACUUUUACCAGUAAAUAUCGGUUUAUUCCUGAAACCAGAAGCCCUAAACAUACCUUUGUUUAUAAGGUCAGUUGGCAUUUUGUCUCUCUCAUUCCCCACUCCCCCCCAGUACAACCCAGCAGGUGGUUGAAAGGUACCGAGUUCUCUUUCUAGUUUUCCUGCUCUGCAUCUCUGGGAACUGGAGCCCGCAGGACCUAGAGCCUUCUGUUGGUAACGUAGAUCUGAGUUUACAAAUUAUUCUUUUACCAUUUUAAAUCCUGCUUUUAAGGACAGAGGUGUUCCCACCUGCCCACCACGGGAACCGGUAGAAACCCCUAAAUUGCUCCUCCUCUCCGAAGCCUGCGGGUAGGUCUCUCACUAGCAUCUUCAGGCUUGGGGCUGAGAAAAUAAUUUAUCCCAAAAUGUACACUAAAAAAACUGCCAUUUCUGGUUUACAGAGAGCAGGACUGGGGGAGGGAAGGGUGGGAAAGGAGUUUGAAACUUACUCUUCCUCCCAUUUUUUUCUAGAAAGCAAAUGUGACAUGGGGAGGAGGGAGAGAAUGUGAACAUGGCCCUUCCUAAACUCAUUGUAAACUCUUCCUCCGAAGCUGGGGAAAAGGGCAAGUGAAAGAUCUGAUCCUUAAAAGGACAUCACUGGGUGUCUGAGACCCCAAAGGCAGCUGGCGAUUUUUAAGGACUCAAAUUGCUUUUGGUUUAUCCCAAGACCAAUUGACUUGGGAGUGUUGAAGCCUCCUUUUUCCCCACAAGUAUGUGCCACCCAAACACUGCAUGUUUUGUUAAUACCCCAGAAGCAGAGAACCUGAUGAGGGAUAGAAAAUGAGUUGACAGCACUGUCCCAGCCAAUUUUCUCCUCCCAAGCAAACAAAAUGCAAAAAAAAUCCCCAAACCAAAACCCAUCCCUGACCCCCCAAAAAACAUAACCUCCUAAAAAAGCAGGUCAAAGAGGAUCUCAAAUGCCCAGUCUGGUUUUGUUGUACAUGGUUGACACGGGUGUUUUUGGCAUAGCUGCAGCCCAACUAUGUCCCUUUAAGGAGCACUGGGGCUCGUUUCCUCCUCACGAAUCCCGAGCCGAGGGUUUUGCUGUUCCUGAGAGCAGAUCGAAGCUCCUGCAGCCUUAGUUGGAGUCCAGAAUGAGGGGAGCCCUUCCAGCUGUGCACUUUGAGCUGAAAACUACCUUUCCUCCCCUUUUGCAGCCUGGGUGGUUCUGAUUGCUGGCAGUUCUGUAAUACAACCUUAAUCUGAGCAGUUGAGGCUGGUCCUACCUUAUCUUCAGACGUCUUGCGGAGGACUCCUGUUACCAGUUUGGUACUCAAAAGCUACACCCCACCAUCAGAAGUCACUUUUUGUCUUUUCCAAAGGCAGUGAUAGCUCACCCUCUCUAGCUCUAAUGGAAAACAUGAUAAUUGCAAUGCAACUUUCUAAUAAAUUGUUCAUAUAUUCAUAAUUCCGUUGCAAUCCCAAAUUGGAGAAGAGAUCUGUUAAAGUGCACUGGUGUACCAAGCCUCAGAACCACUGCUUUCUCCAGCUCAUAGGAUGCUUUUCCAGACUGUGGAUACGUGUAUGUGUACUGCUGUGUUGAUAAGUAAAUGCCAACGAUGGAGUUCGUUGCUUUUAUACAUCCCAAAGAGAAGUUCUCCACCGUUCACUGUCUGUUUUCUGACCGAAAAGGCGUGUGUUUGUGAACAGUGUUCACGCGAGCUCUGCCAUCCCACCCUCACAUCAGCUCACACCAAUGCCAGGAUGGGAGGAGUUGCCUGCGUACCUUCCCCAAAACACCCCGGGCCGCAGUGGCAUCGUCAGGGAGCAGUUCAAACCUGUGUCCUUUGGGCUUUGUGUAAAGCAAAUGCAGAACAAGAAAAAUCGAGAUGUUAAAUCCAUUAGAAAACCAAUUCCUUAUUGUACAGUAGUAUGGAGAUCUCUAGUCAACCUGCCAUUAAUAAUAGAUUCUUAUUUUUUGAAUGAUCUAUUUAAAAGAACAGCAAGCAUUGUAUUUGCUAGUAAAUCUGAAGUGUUUACAUGGAAUUACUAAAUAAAUUAUUUGAUCUAA